rnacentral:rRNA from 1 species
UAUAUUGGACAAUGGGGGCAACCCUGAACUAGCCAUGCCGCGUGUGUGAAGAAGUUCUCUGGAUUGUAAAGCACUUUAAGUUGGGAGGAAGGGCUUUAGGCUAAUACCCUGAAGUUUUGACGUUACCAACAGAAUAAGCACCGGCUAACUCUGUGCCAGCAGCCGCGGUAAUACAGAGGGUGCAAGCGUUAAUCGGAAUUACUGGGCGUAAAGCGCGCGUAGGUGGUUCAGUAAGAUGGGUGUGAGAUCACCGGGCUUAACCUGGGAACUGCUUUCAUAACUGCUGAGCUAGAGUACGGUAGAGGGUAGUGGAAUUUGCUGUGUAGCGGUGAAAUGCGUAGAUAUAGGAAGGAACACCAGUGGCGAAGGCGACUACCUGGACUGAUACUGACACUGGGGUGCGAAAGCGUGGGGAGCAAAC